rnacentral:rRNA from 1 species
AACGAACGCUGGCGGCAUGCCUAACACAUGCAAGUCGAACGAGACCUUCGGGUCUGGUUGCGCACGGGUGCGUAACGCGUGGGAACCUGCCCUUAGGUUCGGAAUAACUCCCCGAAAGGGGUGCUAAUACCGGAAAAUGUAUUCGGACCCAGGAUUUAUCGCCUUUGUGUGGGCCCGCGUUGGCUUAACUAGUUGGUAGCGUAAAAGCCUACCACGGCUACGCUCGAUAGCGGGUCUGAGAGGAUGAUCCGCCACACUGGGGGUGGGACGCGGCCCGGACUCCUACGCGAGGCAGCAGUGGCGAAUCUUGCCCUACCGGCUGAAGCCUGAUCCAGUUCUGGCUCUUGAGUGAUGAAGGCCUUAGGGUUGUACAGCUCUUUUACCCGGGAUGAUACUGACGGUACCGGAAGAAUAAGCACCGGCUAACUCCGUG